GUGAGAUGGAAUCAACGUUUGGACAUGACGAUUUUACGUUGAUUCCAUCUCACGA
rnacentral:pre_miRNA from 1 species